GGGAGCCCAGCGACUCCGACCCGGUGGGAGUGGGACUGGAAAGAGGGAAAGAAUGGCCGCCGCGUCCGCGUGGCUGUGGGGAGAUGGGCCGACUGGGCCGUUCUUCCAACUCAUUUCUUCUUGUUUGCUCCGUGUUUUUUCUUUUUUUUUUGUGAUGAGAAGGAAGUUGGCCUCAGCAUUGCGUUUGUUUUGGGAAAAUGGCACGAAUAGCACUCCAAUCAAACGCUGUCCAUUCUACCUCUAGAAUGUUUUAGACCUAACCUUUCCCACGGUUCGUCAAUGCUAGGCUCGCCGAUGUUCUUGGAAGCUUGCACGUAGUAUAUAAACCCUUGGUCGACGAAAAAGCUCAUGUCCCUAUCGCGUUGAACUGGCCACGUUGGCACGUCGCGUCCUUGGACUCCCCGAGCACAUCCACACCACAGUGCGUGGACACACACUGCAACCAAAUUUGGUGACCGAAUGAGGCAUAUGGAUGAUUAUCAAAAAAAAAUUAUUACCAAAGUUACGAGUUCCAUUUUGUUUUCUCGGGAAGUUAUACAACUAGAACACUCGGCGCGCCAUGCGCGCCCUACCAUUUGAACAAUCAAAUGCAAAUAACCAUAAGGCAACAAAAAACGACAAAAUAUAUAUAAAUGUGAGAAGAGAAAAUCAUGUAGAUAUUCUAUGGCAAUUUGGAAAAAAAACAACAAAUGUGAAUAAAAGCAUGAAAAUUCAUCACAAGAACAAAUUCAUAGUAGAUUAUACAGUCAGUUUUAUUUUGCAGAGCGGACCAAUCGGUACCGGCAUGAUCUGUCAGUAUUGAUAUCAGUAAACACAGUGAGCAGACGUGACCUUAAACUAUAUAACUAUAGAAGUUGAUGAUAACUAAUCUUCAAUCAUUGACAUCAAGUCUUUGCACCGCGUUGCACGACACAUACAAGAUAAGGCAGUAACAACUUCAAGCCUAAGCCGUAGUAGGCAGCAACGACGGAUACUUAUCCUUGCACUUGGAAGUGACCUAAAAAUUAGUAACCACACCUCUUAAUCAUAUGUAUUAAAUAGAGAAUUGAGAGCGAGUCAUCUAUUUUCUAGAAAAUUUGACAACAAGCCAGGACCAUAAUCUCUAUACAUGUCUAUGUAACGACACUAUUUUAGAUGCAAUGUUACAUGUUCUUUGUAAGCAUAUAAAGCAAGUAUGCCAAACAAGUAAAACGAAGAUCUUCUACGAAGCAGGGAAACUUAAUUUAACUUUGUAGUGCGAAGUUCUUCACCACAAUGACCUAGGCAAGAAGCAGGAAAGCUAGGAAAAAGCGGUAGUUAGCUGAUAUUAACAAAAGAUGCAAUAAAGAACUAAUCACAUCGAAAAAGCCAUUAUAGGAUUAUCAAAUAAUUUUCUCACAAAGCGUAAGCUACUUCUUUAACAGCAUCAGAGACAUUACAUUUCUGUUGUAUCUGUUUGGCAUAACUAUAUGACUUAUCAGUACUGAGGUGAACUGCUUUAUGUAGUAAUCUUCUUUCCCUACAUUAUUAUGUUUCGGAUACUCACUUUCUAGACAUUUGUGCACUCUUUCACUUUUCUUCCAAAGUUCAAGUAAAAAAUCAACUGGAGCUAUGAAUCAAUACCACUACUGUUUUGAUCACAAGGUUACCAUGAUUUGAUUAAUAAAUAUCGAUGAAUGCCCAUGAAGGGUAAUUGAAAAAAAAUAUAAUUUUUCUUGGAAAUCUGAAAAAAGGAAGAAAAUAACUCCCUACAUGCUUAUCACAGAUCAAGAAUGCUAAACUAAAAUGGCAGACAAAAAUCAUAUAAUAUAGAAGAAAGUAGAUUCAGACCAAAUUUCUUUUCGCAAACAUGAAUCUUAUAGAAAAAGAAAAAAUAUCCGAUGCUAAUUUUCAGAGAGAUAUAUUAAGCUGCACUUCGCAGCACGACAAGCUAAAUCUGAUGUAUAACCAAUGCCAUCUUGGCGGUUGGUGAGCCUGAGGAUAUUAUAGACAACACUACUCUUCAAUUUGCAAACAAGCCAACACAUUAGCAAAUGGUACCGCUAGGCAGUCGACGCAAAUGACAUUUCAGUCUUCUAGGUGUCGUGCUAACAUCAGAUUGCUCUUAUUUUGUUGCAACAUAGAUUGACGGGACAAUCAUAGCAUGCCAGCAAGUGGAGGACCAACUCGCAUGACAUAUUUGUUUCAAUCAUUUUCUGCUAGAGAAAGUAUACCAGGCAGGAAAAAAUAACUAGGAUAUCAAUAUCAACAUCUUAGAAGGCACUGAUGAAAAAUACACAUCACAUGUACGUGUCUUUGCACUGUUUUUCAUAAUUCUAAAUUGAAUGGCAAAUUAUUUUGACUUUCUGAAACCCUUACCAUGGUGUGUCCGACGAUGCAUGCACAUAGCAAUUGUUCUGACAAUUACCAAGGCAUGAUGCAGCAAAUUUUACAUCCUGCCAUUUUCCUUUCUGUCAUCUCGACAUGGAGAUGCAAGCAUCUCAAUCCGGAGGAGCUGAAUACGUGUUUACCUCCUCCGAUGCUACCUAACCUGCUCUCGCUCGCCUUCCUGCUCCGGCUAGAGGAGCUCGAUUCAAGGGAGGAGAGGCUAGUUCAAUGCAGGGAGAGCUUGAUUCGUGACUCGGUGAGGUCGAUUUGAUGGAAGAGGAGCUUAAUCCAUGGUUCACUGAGGUCAAUUCAAGGGAGUAGGAGCUCGAUUCUCCGCUUGGCGAGGUCGAUUUAAAGGAGGAGGAGCUCGAUUUGAGUAAGAAGAGCUCGAUUCAAGACCCAAUAAGGUCAAUUCGAGGCGGAAGGAACCUGAUUCGUGAUUCGUUGUUUGUUGAUGGUGCUGCCAAUGCACGCGCCUCGCUGGCCGUGCUGCUGGUCCUCCAGCACACCUGUCCCGCGCACGCCUCCUGGCCUACGCCGUGCCGCUACUGCAAGGCCAUGCCGCGGCCUUUGCUCCUGCUACCCAUGGAGCCGAGCCCGCGCGGGACCGGCACUGCUGCCGGCUGCUGCUCCUCCUUCUCGCAUGCGCGGCGCGGACGUUGCUGGCCACGCCACUAUCUCCCGCGAGCAGGCCCGUGCCACGCGGAGGGGUGAGGGGUGGGGAGGGACGCCGCUAUGAAGAAGGCGACGGGAGAGAGAAGAGAGGAGGUGCCGCCGAGGUACAGAGAGAGGGGAGGCGACGGGGUUGGGGAGAGUGGUGGAGUGGAUCCCGCGGGAGUGGGUGGCGGCGGCGGAGAGCAGGAGGAACGGCGGUGGAGAGGGGCGACGGAGGUAGGCGCAGUGGAGAAGGGGAGGAGGGGAGGCGGCAGCGGGGAGGCAGAGAGGAGAGAGGAGGGAGAGGGCGGCGGUGGGGAGCAGGAGAGGGAGGGAGUGGGCGGCGGGGAGCGGGGAGGAGAGCGAUAGGGGUUAGGGUUCGGGGCUGCGGGAGGGGGUAAAUGUAAAAGUGCGCUGCAGGAGGAUUUUUUAAACAUGAUAUGAUUAUCUAAUUUCUUCUUCUUUGUGUCAAAAUAAACAUUAGCUUGAGGAUCUAUGUGAAAAAUGUAUGAGCGCGGUUGCUAUACGGUCCGGACGAGCUAGGUUUAGUUUUAAUUUGUAGAAAUUUAGAGAGCUUUUUUGCAAAAUAGUCAAAGUAAAGGCUGAGCGACACAUGUCACCUUUUUCCCCUUAAGUGUGGACGGGAGGGCAAAGCCCAGCAGCUUUUAAUCAAACUGAUUCUUAGGGGAAAAAAAUAUGGUUAUGAUAUUUUUUCAAUCCAUAUUUCUGAAUUCUGAUGGUAAGUUUCUUUGGUAUUUAUCGAUCACACUGGUUAGCAUGGUAGGCAUACACCUGUCAAAAAAAAAUUUCUUGUUCUAAUCAUUUCAAUGACAAGGUUAUACCAGUUCUCUUUAUAAGCUAAGGGUAAUCGUUCCUGUUUUGCAAAUACAUGCACAUACCCCGUCUUGGUUGAACGUGUCCCUUCGAUGCAAAAUGCAACAAUCCUAUAAGAAAUAGAAUAAAUGUUAUUGGCCUACAAUUUUUGCCUGUGAUAGAGAGUAUGAUUAGUUAUACAAUAUGUUUGCUUGUUAAGCUUCUGCUUGGUGCUGGCUCCUUUUAUAUAAUCUUUUUUCAUCUCUAAUAGAAGCUGCGAUGUUUUUUCCCUCCUAUUUUUCUUCCUUUUAGCGUUGUCGUCCAAUGAUCAGUAGGAGUAGGGUGUGUACUGUUCAAAAACUCUAAGAAGUCUCUACAUUUUUUUUGUCGAAGCUGAAUUAUAUAUUAUAUCAAAUAAUUUAUGAAAGUUUGGAACAAUGGUAUUCUAUAUCAUGGCAAUAUUGAUAUAUGAGGUUAUAAUUUUUACCGUCCGUAGGCAUGAACCUAGUAAAAUAUAAAUUAGAAAAAUAGAUAACUAAAUAAUAGAGAAUAGACAUAAGAAGAUAUAGAAGAGAUAAACAAGGACAAAUGCCACACCAUCUGCGGUUAAGCUGUAACUGGGAUCGUCAGGAAAUGCAAGCUAGUGACGUGAAUUGAUAACCCGUCAAGCCCUGGACCCAGCAAUUCCUCUACGCUCAUGUCGCCGGAUGGGUACUGCGGCUUCGCUCGUUGGUCGGCUUCGGCAGCGUCGGAACACGCCGGCGGCGGUGACGGUUUCUUCCUUGCUCCUUCAGGCACGGCGACGGUACCGAUGCCCUGGUGGCACGGUCACACACGACACAGCAUUUCCAGGCCGUGCCGGUUUGACACGGCUGAUUAGCGGUUACGGAACAGGCGGGUGCCCGUGUGCCCGUCCAGUUUCCGUCGCGUCGCUGCUACGCCUACUAGCGAAUCGUCCGUCGAAGUCAGAUCAGCCCCCCUUCUCCGUGCACAACCGGCAGGCUUAACGGCCCUGGCCCGUACGUACGGAGCUCGUUAAUCGCCACCCGACUCGGAUAAGAUAAUGACCCAGAUCCGCCUCUGCUGCUGGAUCCUCUUCCUGUUCAUCGCCAUGAGCUCCUGGCACCUGCCAUGCCCAUCCAUCAACUUAGCAGUAGUAGUACUAAUUAGUAAGCAAGCUCGUCUCUUCCCUUCCGGGUCCGUCGGGAAUGGCAUGACAGCAGCUGCAGUGCAAGACGACGCUAGCAUGAGGUACGAGCAGUAAGUAACACACCCCUGCUCACUACCUGAAGAACUCGACGACAUCUUUCGUCAGAGGACGCGUCGCAAACCUCUCUCCGAUCUGAAACCUACCUGCUGGGGACACGGCUCAGCUGGGCAGCCUGCAACGAACGGGGGCGAGGGCCAUCAAGGGUAUUGACUCCGCGCGAGCGCGUGGCAGGGGGAUGCAGGCAGUUUUGCGUGCCCGUCACGUGCCGCGGCGUCCGGCCCGGCCCGCCCUGUCUGUCGCCGGCCGGCCUUCCUUCCUCUGGCGCUUGGAGGCAGGGCAGCUGCCGUCGCCGAAAGCCGCUUUCCACCCUUCCUCCCCGCAGGCACCCCCCGGAAAUGGCAGCGGCGAGAGAUAAAUCCGCAGGGGGGAUGCAGGCCAGAGUUUCCGUUUCCGCAUCAUGAUGUCCUCCGAAAAUGAAAUUCCCUGUACUGCAUUGCCCCCUGCCCCUGUGGCUGUACCUCGUCCAACGGCACGAAAGCAGCAGGGCUACGCACGCACUACCGGACCGGACGGACGCGCAUACGCAUCCUGCAAAGGUUCGGCAAAGUCUAGCGAUACUACUGCUGUACAGCAACUUUAGCCGUUGUGGCUUGUGAGAUGGCACGCAGCCUAAAUUCAGUGCUCAGUGCUCCUAAAUUCAGUGCUCAACGCUCCUAAAUAAGUGGAGUGCUAGCAGGGUCAAGUACGGACUACGGAGUAUGGCAUUCUGCGCGACACUGUUGGUACUAGAGGUAGUAGUACGUGGUACCUCCCGUCUACCAUAAAGAUCCAAAAAAUUAAUGUUUUUUUGUAAAAAAAGAGAGAGAUAAAGUUAAUGUUAGGCCCCUACUGUCAACAGUGUUGUACUUCAGUACCUGUACCGCAGUACUCGGUGACAAUUCCAUGCCAAGUAUACGGCCGGGGAGACCGGUCUUGUCCCGGUCUCAGCAAGCCAACAUGUCGAUCGCACAGCGACGGCUCGGAUCUGCAACAGCAAUCGACCGGCCGGGCGGUGGCCCCCGCGCGCGCGCGAGCCUGGACGCGGACGGCGACGCCCGGCAAAUAAUUGCACGCGGGCGCAUCAUCUGAUCGGCGCCGGGCCGGCGGCCAGUUCAUCGCGAAAUCAAGUCCGGCAACGGUGGCAGGGGGGGGGGGGGCAGAUCUCGACGGGAAAGAUUGCGUCUUUGUCCAGCGUCGUCAACACUGACAACGAAUCGGAUGGGUGAUUUGCUCGCGCAGGUGAGGUGAUCUAUGAUCCAUCCAUUUGGCAGGGGCAAUUACUGAGCGUGCUAGUACCACUACCGCUGACAGUAGAAGCUAAUGACGCCACUGGAUGUUGCCAUUGGCAAAUCACAACCCUUAUUUAUUGGACACCCAGCUGCUGCUAGUAAUCUUUCCUUUUUUUUCCAGCAAAAUGGAUCUUCGAAGAUGAUACUAGCUUUUUUACUUGUAUGUUUCCUCUUUUUAUGUGUUGCAAAAACUUUGCAUUUCUGACAGUAAUUGUUUGUCUAUGUUGUAAGCGUUGCAAACUGUAGCAUUUUACUCGUAUGCAUUGCAAGAAAAAGUUUUGCGCCUCAUACUGCAAAUUUGGCCCGGAAAAGAAACUUCAUGUUGCAAACAGGACGUUGCUAGAUCACAUUACGUCUGCCCGCAAUAGUACGCCCCUUUCUUGAGGAAUUGCAUCUAUAUUCUACUAGUCCUUUUUUUUCUCUCUGCACGUGAAGCUACCACUUACCUAAAGAAAAAAGAAAAAAAAAGCACCAGUACUCCAGAAGGGAAUAGCUUAGCCCUCUUCUGUUGGUGCUGGCCUCCCCCACCAAAUCUUGACCGUACAUAAGCUGUAGUGCUAUGGAGAUGGACUGAAAUUACCCCGAUGGGGUUUUGAAUUGGAAAUGUGCAAACUUGAACUGAUUUUACUUUUUCAAAUAUUCAAAUGUAAAAUCAAAAGUUUAGAGCAAGAGGCUUAUUUUGGCUUCAAUUUAUGAUUGUUCUUAAGCUGAGAACUACUCCUUCCGUCCCAAAUUAUAGGUUAUUUUAGAUUUUUAGAUACAUAGUUUGUUUUAUACACCUACAUAUAUACAUAUAUUUAGAUACAAAGCAAAAAUUAUACAAUACAUAUAGCAAUGCUAAAAUAAUCUAUAAUUUGGAACGGAAGGAGUAAUAAAUUUUGAGUUCAAGAAUUCCUCAUGCUUCUCUCUUUAUUGUUUUUGAGCGACAUGCUUCUCCUUCUCAACGAUCGGACAGCACACCUGCUAGCUUCUUCCAAAAAAACAAAGAGUUCAAAGUUGAAAAUCGCCUGCUCAAGUUUUAUUCUAUCAAUUUACAUACAUAUUUUUCCAAUUUAUUACACAUCUCAAUAUUGCAAUUAGGGCAUUUUAACUUACAAUGCUCAGUAUAAGUGGCUGUAAAGCAUGAAAGUGUGACCUGUGGGUGAAUUGGGCAUGAAUGUUGCUUGCAAGGGGAAAAAACUGCUCGCUUGUGAGUAGAAUUAUUAUUUCUUUGGACCAUUGCAAAUUUGGGUCCCCAAAAAUUAUUGUCUGUGAAAGUAAAAAGUAACUUGGCAAUCUUACAUGUACCACCAGAACUGGCAAGAUUUGGGAAAAAAAUUCAACUUUUUCUUUCUUUCUUUUUGAGUUUCACAUUCCCAUCUGUCGGGACUCUUUUCAUGCGACACGCAUAAGAAAAGGAGAGACAGAUUUUUAUGGAUUUUUUUAUUUGACUAGAAUGUACAUGCAUGGAAUGUUAGAUCUCAGAUGAUCUUUUUUUUUAAGAAGUUGAUCUUUUAUUGAGAAACAAAAAAGAAAGGAGUAGCCUGAAAAAAGAAGUGGGAUGCUGGCUGCAAUUGGUUAAUAUCAAAUAACUACGAAAAAAACAAGUUUUUGCUGAAAAUCUGGAAGAGCAUUAAUUACCAUUGGAGGUGGUCGAUCAAUGUGUUCACCACUUCACCUCCACCUUUUGAAAAGGGAAAAAAAGGAUCACCUUUCUCUUGAUCUCUUGAUCGAGAAGACUCCCUCCAAUCGAUUCCCUUCUUGGUGUCAGUACUCACGAUAUCGUAUUACGCAAUCCACAAUCUUGCUAUGUACCAAAAAGAAAAGGAAGUCCACGAGGUUUUGUAUAUGACCCCUUUUUUUCUAGCCAAAACAAUUGACUUUUUCCACACGGAUGUGCUGCUAACAGUCCACCUCGUUUAUACAUAGAUCAAAUGGAAGAAAUAGAAGUGAAAGUUGCUCAAAAUUCAAACCUUUUCAGCGGCCUGGAGAUGCAAACAAAAAUAUGGGAUCGAUAACGAUAAUUUAUAUACAAGAGAUCAAACAAGAAACACUAUACUCAUAUCUCUAUCUCUUUCAAUCAACAGAAUAGCCUUGCUGUUCAUUUGGCAAGCGAAUCAAUACAAGGGGAAAAAAGAGCCACAAGAAAUCCAGAAAAGAAAAAAAAAGCAGGGAAAAGGAGAAGAAAGGGAAGCAGAAGGGAAUAGUAAUACUACACGCUCCUCUCUUCUCCUUCUCAUUCUUCUCCUCCACCUCGCCAUGCACGGGCCCACGCGAGCGAGAUCAGCUCGCGCGCCCCGGUGAUGGCAGCAAUGGACGCCGCGCCGGCCGGCCGGCCAAGCCACGAGCCCACGACACGCGCAGUAGAAAUGGCUGCAGCUUAAUAAGAAGCUACUGUAGCGAGGAACGGUGCUCAUCUGUUGUGCAGCGGGUUGGGCCCCGUGGGCACGCGGCGCUUGUCCUCGUCGACCAGCUCGUCGCCGCCGCCGGCGCGCCACCGCCGUCCAAGCCCGAUGCUGACGAGGCCGACGACCACGACGUCGAACGCGCUCGGCCUCCCGCCGUCAGCGGCCGCGGCCGCCUUGCCGCUGCCGCCGGGCACCGCGCGCGACUCGGCGGCGCACGCGGCCGCGAGGAGCACUAAGCACGCGACCAGCGCCGCGCGAGACCACCGCCUCGCCCUCAUGCCGCCGCACACGGCACGCGCAAGAUCAGGGCCGGCCGACAGCUACGGCGACGACCGAUGACGCUGCGGCGCGGCGCUGAAGGCUUGACGAGAAAGCAAGCGAAGGUCUUUAACGUGCGGAUCGAGCUAGCUAGGGGCGUUGGGGAAGAGGCCGGGGGAGCCGGAGCCCGGAUGCAGCGGCUAGACGGGCAACACUGGAGUGGUAGAGUGGAGUCAAAGCGGGUAAAGGCUCGGAGCUGCAGGUAGCUGGAGGUUCUCGCUGCUGCAAAACUGCAAAGGGGUUUUAUGUAGGUGGGGAGGCGGCCGGUGUGGGGUGCGCGCCCGCCCGUCGCCCCAUGCGCGGGGCUCCACAUGCGCAGCGAGAGAGAGGGAGGCCGGAGGGGCAAGGCGCAGAGGGCAGCUAGGGGCCAGUGGGGGGAUGCCACCAAACCGCAUUGAAGGAUCUUCAAUUCUCUGCGCCUCCCUGCCACUGUCCGUCUCAGCACCCCCCAGCCCAGCCGUGGGGAAGAGAGAGAGAGAGAGAGAGAGAGAGAGAGAGAGAGAGAGAGAGAGAGAGAGAGAGAGAGAGAGAGAGAGAGAGAGAGAGCAGGAAACGCCCACACCCAGGCCACUUUGCACAGAGCAAAAAGGUGCGGAGGAGAUGGAAAGUUUGGUGAGCAGGGGCCCAACGCACAGAGUGACACACACCCGGCCGCGCUUCGUUGCUGUCCCCCGCCCCCACCCCCCCCCCCCCCCGUCCCCCCACAAUGCAAGGACCGUGGAUUAUUUGCUUCGGAAAGCUACCUAGCUUCAUCCACCCACGUUUUCCUUUAGCUUGACACCACGGUGAAACCGCAACAACCAUGCACGCAGUACUCCAUGUCACAACAAGCUAGUUACCCCAAUUUUCUCCUGCAAUCUGCUAGUACUUAGGUUAAUGUGAUCGCUCGCUGGAAAAGGCCAAUGGAGAUGCAUGCGACGCUUGCAGGUCAGGUGCCUGAACAGUGUUGUUGUACGCGCUCAUGGUGGUUGCAUUGCAGCAGCAGCUUCGUCGUCGACGAGUCCUGUAUUAUUUGAAGGGAGCGAGGAGCGUAGCCAAGUCAGUCAAUGCGGCAACUGUAGUUCCAUUUGGUCAGGCAGAGUCUCGAGUGCGCGCCAUAACUUGCGUUGCGCGCAGGCAGAACGAGCUGGUGAUCCGCGCGGUCAAGACCCCUUUCGAGAGCGCCCCCCUGCUGCAGGCUGCCCCGUAGUAGUCGCCGCAGCGUCCAUGCCCCUGCCCUUUUAGACGAUCGCCAAUAAAUACACACCAUACAGGCAUGCAGCAUCAUGGCUCAUAAAUGGAGACAAGGAUAGAGAGAGAGAGAGAGGGGGGGGGGGAUGAACAUCUAUCUGCAGGGUUUACGUUACGACCACGGCCCGCCGCCCGGUUAGUAGUAUUUUGCUUCUCGUACAAGUUUUGCUUGCUUGUAGGGUUGACGACGAUCGAGGGGAGAGAGAGAAGGGGGGGGGGGGGGGAAUACAUGCAUGCAUGGAUCAAGUAUGGACAGGAGAGAGUAUGUGUGGAGUGUAGAGGUAGAGCAACUGAUCGAGCAAGAACUCGAAGCAAACAUAGAGCUCCGAGAAAGGGUAGUGAGAUGCUAGCUGGAUAUACAAGGAGCACUGGAUGGAACUUAGCAACAAGUAAGCAAGCAUAAGGGGACAAGAAAGAAAGGGUGAGCAAAAGAUGGGAGCCGAGAGGAAGGGUUGCACGAGCCGAGAGCGACAAGAGAGAGGAAGAGAGGGAGCUCGAGGAAGGAAAACCAUCUUCCCUCUCCUCCUCCUCCGGGUUGUUCCUGCAGCGUACACCUCUCUCUCUCUCUAGCCAUCUCUAUGGAUCGGGCUGUACGUGACACACUCGCCAGAUGGGGAGCAAGGACAUGUCGUCGCCAACCACCCCCACGCAGACCGAGACAUAGAGCUCUGGCCGAUGGGCCCUACGACUCUUGGGCACAGCUACACUGAUGGCGCAGUGCAGGGUCUCCUCCUGUACUUGGCACUUGCUGUACAGUUGUACAGUGUACAGAUGGAAAUUCGUAGGGCGUCGUCUCUCCAGCAAGUACUAGGUUCAUCGUCUAGCCACGCUAGCUGCCCAUGCAUGCAUGUCAGUGGGUCGGAGUCGAGCUAGGUCAGACUAGCAGCUUGCUAGAUAGUAGAUAGGCUUGUGCUGCUAUUAGCUUGCCUGAUCCUACAAAAUGGUAGUGGACUGGUGGUAGCUAGUGGAUCGGACUAAGUGGAGCAACAUUUUUAUGUUGGAGUUCAUUCUGUGGCUUGAUCCGUUGACUCCGAUCCAGUAGUGGUUCAACAAGAUCACUUACACGUCAUGUCCUGCUACAGCUAGUACCGUUGAGCUGUAGCGACGCAUCUUCAGCUAAUCCGCGACAUCAAUCUGGAUAAAACAUGGGGCUCAGAAUUUCUAAUCAUGUCCGAUCCGUACUGGAUAAUGAGCCAUGACUCUGGUCGCCACACUCUGCUGAUCCUUUUGAAGGACAUCAAGGCCCCAGAUACACGAACCUAGGGGGUUUAGCCAUGAUCGACGAGUAUUACUAGCAGAGAAACCCGCAGCAGCAGUGGUAUGAUAGUUCUGCCGGCCGCUGCUGGUUGCCAAAUUAUGGUAGUACCGCCACUCAUUCUGCUUGCUUUGAUUUACGUUGGGCCCUGGCCUAGCAAAUCUUUUGGUUAAAGGCUCACCUUUAGUUAUGGCGAUGCUUAACUCGAAUGGCCAGAUUUUAAUCAACCCUUUCCCUCGCUCUCUUUUUAUCCAACACUAGUACAGAAUAUGUCAUUAGUCCAGGUUGAGAAAUCCCCUGUAGUCAUGAUUUCCCAACCGGAACGGCCAAUCUGAAACUAAAGGCCUUGGCCUACUAAGAGUUCGGCAACGCUAAAAAAAUAAUUGGCAAGCACAAUCAAUCCUGCGAUCCGCAGGAAUCGAAUUCAAGAUCUCCUGCCUCGCAUACAGUUCCUUAUCACCCCACCUACACAGCUUAUGUGACUCUAGAUGGGAUGCUUCCUUUCAAACUGACCCAUGAAGAACCCUUUAGUCCCGUUUAGUAACAUCAACCGGGACUAUAUGCGGGACUAAAAGGUGAUUCUUUAGUUCCAGUUGGUGUCAUCAUCCGGGACUAAAGAGGAACUUUUAGUCCCGGUUGGUGGCUCCAACCGGGACUAAAGGUCCCCGUCCCCCUAGCCGUUGGACCCGGGUAAUGCUUUCAUUAGUCCCGAUCCCAACCCCGGCCGGAAUUAAAGAGGGUGGAUGUAUGUACUGUUCUGUACUAGUGCAAGUAACUGCUGUAACUUUGACAUUUCUCUAACUUGGACAAAAAAUAAUAUAUUAUCAUCUCUAAUACUAUCUCCAUCCCAAAUUACAAUUAAUUUUGGCUUUUCUAGAUACAUAUAUUUUUCUAUGCAUCUAGAUGUACACUGUGUCCAGAUACAUAGCAAAAAUUAUGUAUCUAAUAAAGUCAAAAUGAAUUGUAAUCUGGAACAGAGAUAGUACUAAAUAAAUGUGUUUUGGUAUAUUUAACAAAAUUGAUUUCAUGUUGUUGGUACUAUGCAUUUCUAAUAAAAUUAAUCAAAAUUAAAAAAUUUCUUUUUGGGAUAAAGUGGGAAGGAAGUUUGACUUUGAACAAAACAUUAGUGCUCCACGUUUCGAUACGGAUGGAGUUGUGCGCAAUUAAUAUACGUAAAUCUAGAGCUAAUCUAUUUGCUUGUCUUGUACCCGGUUGUCCUUUGCUGUCCGUGUGCUCAGGAGUUAAUCAGGACGAUUGGAUGCGCACAUUAACGGACGUGGAGUACAAAAUCUAAGACAUUCAGGUGAGCAGGGGUCUGGCAUUGUUUAUAGCGUCACCAGAGAUAGAUACAGAUGUCCGCGACACCUUUUGCCAGAACGGUUUUAUAGUGGCUGCCAGUAGUAAUAAAGUUGAUCGGAGGAAAUAAACACGUUGCUUGGUUGAAACAUACUGGGCCGGGUCAACCGAAAACUUGCUGGGCCUGCAAAUGAUCCCCGAAGGCCCACCUGGCACACGGACCGUAUCAGAAACUUCCGUUAGUACUAAAUUGUUUUGUUUUGUACUAGCACAAAAAAAAAGGAUCUCAGCGUGGACGCAGCUUUGACGUUUUGUAGCAGCCAGGAACAAGUUCGGGGAGAAUCGGACGCAACACGCACAGCCGCGCACCGCCACUUGCUCUACCGGUCGUGAUAGCCAGGUCGAUCAUGGCGCUGUCUCUCUCCCUCUCCCUCUCCCGGCCCUGUGCAGGCUGCAGCUGAGCCGCAGGUGGAGCUCGCGGUCGUGAUCCCACCACCGUGAUGGCGCGCGAACGAAUGAUGGGGACGGAGACGGGGGCGCGGAAAAGCGACGCACCGACCGUGGGGUAGGGCAGCCACGGCGACCGAGCGAAUCGAGGGGCCUACAUGCAUGUUGCCCGGCAUCCACGUAACGGCAGCAACAGUGAGGGAGGAAGAAGACGAAGCAGCUCUGGUCGUCACCUCGCGCCCGCGGAAAAGACGGUCGGGAUCGAACGCAGGGCCAGGCAGGGAUUGCGUCCACAACAAACAAUUCUGGCGACUGGCGGUGGCGAGGGUGCUCUGGAAUUGUUUGCUAGCUGAGCUGUGCGGGUGGGUGCGGACGUCUACGUGUGCGGCCUUCCCUCAUGGGCUGGAGCUGACACCAUUCAUCUUUGGAGGCCCACGUUGGGAUCGGGUUCCACUACCUGCUGUUUUCACGUGCUGUUUCACUGCGCCCUUUUUCUCUCUUUUUUGAGGCAUUUUUCGUACCAUCUGAUUUUCUUUCUCCCGGGCGCUGAAUCGUUGACACGGUAGCGGCAGGCGUGUACAAUCAUGACGCCAGCCUACCUGGCUAGGAUACGGUAUCGCUCGUCGCCACGUAUGGGUAUGGCGCCCUUUCGGCGCGUACGGAGGCCGAUCGUCCCGCGUACGUGUUGGUCAACGACGCACUGAGGGACGGGACGGGACACCACCGCUCCCUCGUCUUUGACUUUUUGCCAGGCCCGUCUGUCUGCACUUCCGCCCGAGUUCCGACCGUGUGCACGCGACGACUUUCCUGUCCAUGUUCCAAAACAGUUCUGCACUUCUGCUAGUGUUCGUCACCGGCCACCACGGCAUCGCCCAAACGCGUGCUCCCCUUGGCAAGUUGUCUCGUCCUACGGCCCCCCUGGAAAGUGGACCCUGGCCGGCCAGCGGCGACCGCGGCACAAUCCCCGCGUGCGGAAGCGCCAGGUGCCGGCGCGCGCGAGGCGAGAGCGCUGACGGGAGACUGACGCCAGCGCGUAGACCUCGUCGGGAUCGGUCGCGCGCGGCUGUACACGAAUUUCGGUUGACCGCGCUGCUGCGAUGCGGCGCCGCGCGGCGCGGAGGCGGGCGAGGGCGACGACGCCGGCCGCCUGGCCCGAGCCCUGCAGGCGCGGCACGCGGCGGCGCCAACAGAGCGCGACGCGCGCGCGGGGCGGCAAGAUUCCCGCUGUUCCGACGGGUUCGGCAGCGCGCGGCGCGCUCCCUGUCGCGGGCUGGCGGUUCGAGUCCAGGAUGGGCCGAGUGCCCAAGGCAGACGAUCCGAGCCGAGCAGCAAGCAGCAAACGCUCCCGGCCCGCCCUUCAGCAGCUAGGACCAAAUGCUUUUUCACUGGUCAAAAAGCAAGUCAAACGUGCUCCAGGAGCAGAGAGGUGCAUAGCAAGCACGACACUGUGUGUGUGUGUCCACAGGAUGAGACAAGAGAAUCUGCUCGCCGGAUAGGCUUUUUCCCCCCACAUUAAAAUCAAAUGUGGCGCAUCCACGUCAGUUGCUGCCGCCUGGCUCUGUUCCGUUCAGACGGACGCUCCACGUACUAGACGACUACCCUUCGAGUAAACUCUCACGAUUUUGCAUUACAACCGCACGACCACCACCAGUGUUCAAAUGCACGCACAGUGGAUAAGAAUAUGACCACCAGAGAGCAUCCCCCAAAUCAAGCACGCAUGAUUGGUACUGACCAUCACACACACUGGCCGUUGGCUCAGUUUCUGUUGGCAGACAAGCAUUCCAAUCAGAGCUCAUUUCCGUUGUGAAACCAACUGAUAACUCUGAUCAAGAGCAACAAUGGAUUGGAAAACAGAAACGAUAAAUGAAUCAGGGCUGCGAGUCUGCUACCGGUAGCACACAUCCACAAGAGACAGCAUCACCAUUGGUCGCUGGCUUGUUUUUUUAGCUCGCAUGCCGGUACUCCAAGCCGAGCCCAUCUCCGUGACCAACAGCUUAACAAGGAGACAACGACAGGUCUGAAAAAAGAAACCUCCCCGAGCUUGACCUCCUCGUCUCGAGCCCCCCAAUUCUAGCUAACACCAGGCUCUAAUCAGGAAGCAAAAUUUAAUGAGAUGCCUCGGCUUUAGAAUACAGGCUAACAUGGAACGCACAAAGCGCCAAGCAUACAGCGAAUCUGCGCAACUUCCCCACAGAAAGGUACACGUUUGGAAUUGCCUUCUCAGCGCUAGACACUGACCAAAUCAGAGUGGUUAGCUGUUGGUUAUCAGCCUGGUCCUGCAAAAUUAGCUCAAACUUCAGUCUUGGGGGGCCAUCGCUUCGUUGAUCUGAAUAUUUGUCUUUUCUUUUUGCUCUUUCGAAAAAAAUGUUUGUCUUUUGCAACUGAGUCAUUGUUUCUCUUGUAUCGGAAUAGGGUCUGUAAUCUUGACACUGUAAGAUGCACGCAGCAUGGUAAUACAGAAGACAAGGAAUCUCACACGCAGACAGGCAUGAUGCCUGCAUCCACCCAUAACCACAACAUCGCACAUCGGCAUGAGAAGAACCCUGAGGCAUGGGGGUCACGGUGAGGCCAUGCCUGUCCCAUCAGGCCGGUAAACGGUAGUGCAGACGACAGACAACAUCGAUCAGGUCAGUCGAAUGAUCAAGCAGCAGCAUCUGUGGGCUGCCUGCGGUGCGUUGCUUGGGUGAUGGGCCCUCUUCAGUUUGUUUUUUUUAACGUGGUAUGGGCCCUCUUCAGUUUGUCACAUUUAGUAAAGAUCUCGCAAGAGCAGGAAGAGAAAAAAAAAGGCCUACAGCAAAUCGCCAAACUUUGGGGUUGCCCGUGCCCCUACCUAAUAAUUGUUGCACACUCCUAAACAAUUGCUUACUCACUCACAUGUGACGUAAUGGUCCACAAACAGCAGCUCAUUAUGCUAAGAGGGCCUCAGUUUUGUCAUGUUUGCCAAGUGGUGCUUAGAUGGUAAUCCUGCUUACAUCUAACUUUAUUUUCACGAACUAGCUCUCCUUGCGAGUGGCCAAAAAGGUCUGGUUUGCAAAUGUGCCAAAAUCCAGACACCAUUCUGCAUUUUGGCCCUGCAACCGUCACCAAUUUAUACCCAAGGAAGCCAUGGAGGGAGCCUGCUCUUCUCUUGUUAAGCCCCCUCCAUCACCAGUCACUACCACCAUUGCCAAUACACUAGCAUGACGAAGCUACUCUGUGUUGUUCUUGUCUCAAGCCUUCUUCUAGCCACUCUCGCAGGUGCUUCUUCAUCUUCUCUUAUGCCCUCCCUCGGCAGGCAUCAAGCACAAGUUCUAGGCCGGAAAGGCAGAGACCUUGGCCAGUUAGGAUACCAUCACCAGCAUCAAACCAAGCACAUGCAGCAGCAUGAGGUCAGUUCAUACUUCAUACAUCCCCUAGAACCUGUUGAAGUUCAGUCGAUUAUCUUAUCUACAAAGAAAAAUUCAUCAGUGACUGAAGCCUGAAUCUAGCAGCAGUCUGCUUUCCUCUUCCCAUCAAUUUUUCUGUCCACUUUACAUCUUCAGCAAUGUACAGGAAGGAACUUGACGGUUCAUGAUCUGUCCAUGAUCUGCAGGGAAUGGCUAUGGAGGUGGAGAAGCCUGCGGAGACGACGGCCGGUUGGACGGUGGAUCAUGGUGACGACGCCAAGGAUGGGCUGAUCUACAGCGCGGACUACAGCGGGGUGGCCAUGCAUGCCGGCUCUCCACCGACGCCCAAGCCCAAGCACAGGCACCCCAAACCGUAGGACAUCCGAAAUCCGAUCGCGUUCGUCCAUGACCUUAUCCUCGUGUAGUAAAUGGUGUUCUUAAUCUUGUGUGUUUUAUCAUGGGAUUGUACCAUCCGUUCCGUCUCUGUAAAAUAGGCUCUGCUGUUGCUCCUGUUGCUUUGCCUCUGCCCUUGCAUGAUUGCAUCUCACUGGUAGGUCCUGAGCAACGACGUCACAAGGCACAUAGAGAACACGAGUUCGUAAGCUGAUGCUGAUCCACACACACAAAUGGCAGUCGGUGACACGUCAAAUCAUCGUCAAAUUUGACCCAAAAAAUCAUCGCUAAAUCGGGUGGCACUGGCAUGCCGCCGCCGACAUGCCAACCGUGGAGGUUGGGCGCUUGGGCCUUGCUCGAACGGCGGACACUGGUCUGCCGCGGCAGCGCACCUGCGUCUAGACUCCACUCCGCCGCCGCAGCCAGCAAGAGUUGGUCGCCGGACGGGAGGAUCAGAUCGCUCCCAUAGUCCCAUCCGAGACACUGGCGUGCCCAGCGCAGCCGCGUGUAGCGUCACGACGCGCUCGCCGCGGCCGCUGCGCCGCGCGGGCUGGCACGGCAUUGUCUUCCAAAAUUGCAGCCCGAAAUGCCGAUCCACACACACAAAGGACGUGGAUCAGAGCAGGGCAAGUAGCAAACGACAUCAGCGCGGUUUCAGCCAAGAACAGAACAGAAUCUGACACACCUUAUGCUCGAUGCAUAAGCAUAACUGAAGAACCAGACUCACCGAAUGAAAUUCACUGUCCAUCAUCCAGUCCCAAAUGGAGACAAGUACAGACCGAGUACAAACGUGGUGUCCAAGCAAAAGGUUACUGUAACCGACGAAUCGAAACAAUGUGGGUCCAGAAAACUGUAAAUUUUGUACAGGAUGGCGCCGAACAGAAUCACAAGAUCCAGACCGGUGGGCAACAAUCAAUUUUGUUGUGGACCGGUUUAUUUGCCUGAGCCAUGCUUCAUGUCUUUCAUACAUUCAGUGCCAACUUCUUAGCGGCAAGAGCCUCGGCUUCAAGGGUUGGCUCCCAGAGAAUUGUGGUCUCUGCCAGUAGCCCUGUCACAAUGUAUGGGUCCAUGUUCGAUGCUGGGCGACGGUCUUCCAGGUACCCUGUUGGGCGGGGUGAAAAGAGGAAACAGCCUUGGAUUUUCUAGUUACUGAAUUCACAUGCAUGAAUACUGAAAAUUGUAUAAUAAGAUAUGAAUUUAGUGGCACUGUAUCUUUUUCUUUCUACUGCAGUGCAUGUGUUGGCCAACUGGAUGUAUACAUCCGUUGACAGAAACAUAUUUACAUCCUGAACUGCACGACUAAACUUAUAUUUCAAAGACAAAUGCAACAUUGGUAUAGGGUCAUUUGGAUAGAGUGCAGUCAAGAUCGCAAGACCACAAUUGUAACCUUAGCAAGACCACAAUUGUGGCCUUAGCAAGAUGAUGCUACUCCGCAUGGCCUAGACUCUUUGCCCAGUGUCCAAGUGGUAUUUAUAUAUAGGUAAUAUCAAUGUAAACUGUCAAGAACAUACCUUUUCCUUUGGCCUCAGUAUCUCUCCCCACACGAAUAGAGCAUCCACGGUUCGCCACGCCCUGAUAAAUGAAAAUGUUUCAUUAGCAACUUACAAAUAAACAAUAUUCAGUGGACUGGCAAAAGAUAAACAAAGGUGCCAUCCAUACCCAUGAGAAGGUGUCGAUGCUAGCUGUCUCGUGUAACCCUGUCAAUCUUCUUUCAUUUCCUUCUCCAUAUGCACUAAUGUGCAAAUCAUGGCGCAGAGAAAGGUUAAGGAUUGCUUUCUUGAUCACUUCAAAUCCUCCAUCUUCACGCAUGCUCUUCGUGCUACAUUUGCAAGGAUUUCAGAUUCAGUCUCAAAUAAGGGUGAAUUGUGUUAAAUGUAUUGAGAAAAAUUCAUAAAUGCAGAAUGUAAAUAACUGAAGUGAAUACUUAUAUGGAUUCAUUCACGCUAGGAAACAAUUUACUAAUGGCAUAUUGAUACUUACUUUUACUCCCUUUCAGGCAUACAAGAACAAAUGUUUUUCUUAGAUCUCAGCAUUCAGCAUAUGCUAAUCUAUAGUGCUAUAGGCAUUCUGAUGUUUGGCCUAUACAUGACAAAGUAUACCAUGAACUCAUUGUGAAGGAUUAUUAAGUAUUAGCAUAAGGACUGUAACCUGUAAUUUGUGUGGCAGCCAGCUCCGUUCCAGUCACCCUGUCACCAUAUAAUACGGAUAUACGUUCAGUUUCCUUUAAUUGUAAUCCAUUAUAAUAACUUGAAACAAGUAGCUGGCGGGCAUACCGGAAUUGGUUUUGGAUCAAGUGUAAGCACAACUCCAGCUUGCUCCGUGAUUCUCUGAUAAAGGUGAGUAGGAUUACAUUUAGAAGUGCUUAUAGUGACGUAAAAAUUGACAUAGCCUAAAGGACAGAAUUAUGGGCUUCAGGCCUUAGGUCUUUUGAACGAGACAGAUACACGGAACUAUGAUUUUUCACCACAAGAAAAAAUAUUCUAAAACCUAUAAAUACUUACUUUACUAUAAUAAGCAGAUGGACUCUUAAAAAUAUGCUCCAAUAAUAAGGAAGAAUAAAAGAACCGAAAUGACAAGAUACCAGGAAAUCCUUAAUUACUAUUUGGAGUACCUCGAGAAGGUAUCUUGAAAUCCAUAUGUGGUCUCCUGCUUCAAUACCAACACUAGGUCCAACUUGGUACUCCCACUGCACAGAUAAGGAUUAUGAAGUUCUGCCAAUUAAACAGUUUGGGAGGGGUGGAUAUAUAACACACAGAUUCAGAAAACUAAAAAACAAAUUACAUGUGUCUUGAAAAUAACAUAACCAUACCUGACCAGGCAUGACCUCCCCGUUUGUUCCACUAAUGUUGAUUCCAGCGUAAAGGCAUGCCUUGUAGUGAGCAUCUGAUAUGUCGCGGCCGAAUGAUUUUUCCGCUCCUACGGCACAGUAGUACGGACCCUGCCAUAUUUUGACAGAACAAGUUAUUUUCGAAAUAGUGUUCAUCAAGCCAAUGCAAGACACUUAUUUCAACAAGUAAAUUUACUAUGGCAUGAUACACCAAGUCUUUUUCCUUGAUUAACAAAAUACCUGGGGACCAGGGUAGCCUCCAACAGGCCAGCCAAGAGGCCAAUUCACAUCUCUCUGCAUCAAAGUGUACUCUUGCUCAAUGCCAAACCUAGAAGCAAAAGGAUACAGGAAGUGUUUCAACUAAUUUUUCUAUUAAGUAAUAGGAUAGUAAGAUUUGUAUUAUAAUCUAUAGCGUACAUGUGACUAAGUCAGGAUUACCAUGGCACUUGUUCAACGACCUUUGGGUCGCUGAAAAUUUGUGCAGCCCUGUGGCGUUUGUUAGUAGGAAUGGGUUCCCCAGCUGGCGUGUAGGUAUCACACAUAACCUGAGAAGCCAAAUUUUAUAUUAAUCAGCAUAUUGUUUUGCACAUGCUAAUCAAAGGUCAGCAUGAUCGCCCAUAAGUUCAGGUGACUAUGUGACAUCAUCUGAGAAGCAUGAGCGACAAUCACAAUUGAAGGUGAAAAGAUUAUACCAUUCUAACUUGUAACUGCUAUUCUUUUAACCUUUCUAUUCACGUUUAUGUGGAAUAGCACGUAUAGAAUGGUAUGAGUCAGUUGGGAUUGGAAGUACCAAAAUGUUGUUGCCGCCUCGGAAUGGGUCCUUGAAAAUAGCCUGGGGACUGAGAACAGAAAGAGAAAUAUCAGCAAUGUAACAGUAAAAUGUUUUUUUUUUCAUAUAAGGAGCACAUCUGUUGUAAUCCCCCCACUUACUAUAGAAUGACUUCACUGUCUUCUCCUGGAGCUUGGCCUGUGCUUGAUCCAUCGUAGUUCCAUUUUGGUAGUUCCGAGGGAUCCUCCACGGGUUUUUCAAUUGUCUGAAAUGCAGGCAUGAAGAUCUAUUUUGAGUAUCGUCGUGUAAAAGUGAUAUGCAAAUAGCAAAAGGAGUGCCCUGUGCUCAUGGGCUCAUUCCCUAAACACCUGGUAAUUGUCCGGAAAAGGAGAUGCAAAUAAUGGUAGUGGUGACGUUGAAUGCUUACCCUUGAUUUGCUUCUGAUGUCGAUUCCAGAUCCUCCGACCCUACACAAUGUGAAAAGGGGGGACAGAUGCAGAUUCGUCAACACAGAGCUAUGAGCACUUUGCAUCAGUAGUGUGAUCCUCAUUUUAGUAUUGUGUACUGCACACAAAAGUAUGUGAUGCACUCUAUUACUUAAGUGCAGGAACUGGAAAGCAGAGAUGAAUCAGCACCCACAAAGCUUUAGAAGUUGUUUUAGACUAAAAGCUUAAGAACUUUUAGUGGCUCCGAUACUAUUUUAUAUAACUAGUAAUAAAGUUGAAUCCGCACUGUGUCUGUGUGUCCCCGUGCUAGCGGGAUCUCACUCAACUGUGCAACUCCCGAUCGGACGGUUCACGGACAUCCAAAAAGCGAGGCCUUUGGCCUAUUCCCAGGCUACGGUUCGUCAGGUGGGGGGCAGAAAAAAUCCCUGCGCUACAGCGACCGAAUGGAAUGCAAGGCGCGUACCAGAUGUACUCGGCGAUGAUCUUGUCGGUGUAGGGCUUGGUGUCCAUGUUGAGCAGCUGCUCGAGGCGCGGCACCACCCCGGUGCUCGCGGUGCUCAGGGCCAUGGCCUUGAACCCCGGGGUGCCGCGUCCGCUCCUCCUGACGCCCCACACCCUUCCCGCGGCGCUCGCCGCCGGCCUUGCCCGGACGGCCGCCUUCGCCCCGACCUGGCACUGCAUCGCCGGCAACACCGCCUGCGCCAUUCCGGAACAACCGGCUGCCCUCCCUUCCCACUCGAAGACCUUCAGCGAAGCAAAUCGACACAUUACACCACCAACCUCGUAACCACGCGGGAACCGGAAUGCGGCGGAGAAGCCGCCGCCGCCGCCGGGCAUUGCACCCCCCCCCCCCCCCCCCCCGAACUCACCUGCGACGAGCGCGGGCGAGACGGCGCGAUGCGAGAGACGGAAGAGAAAGGGGAAGAGUGGCGCGGCGCCUCGGGAUUAUGCGGGCGGGCCGUAUAAAUAUUUGGGAUCCGGUGGCUUUUGCUGAGGGGAUAGGGCUCCGCGGGCUGUGGGUGGACGAGAGAUUCCUGGCCCUUGACGAGCACCGGAGGCGGAGGCAGCAGUAGCACGACGACACACCACACCAGACGAGGCCUCGAUCACACGCACGCGCACGUCCGGAUAAAACCCGCGGCGUUUUCCUGGAUAUCAGAGGGGCGUUCCCGCCCCGGUGACCUCUGCGAACGAAACCGCAGCAGCAGCGACCGGCGCCUCGUGUAUGCUUGGGAUCGAUCGUCGAUCGGCAUUGUGAACUUGUGACCUACGAUUACAAUAUGCCUUCAUCCGCGGGGCCUUUGACCAGGGAUGAUGGACCGGACAUGGCGAUGUGCCGAAUUCAAUAGUUGACAAACAACUAGUGAUCUUUUGUUUUUUUUUCUGAAAAUAACAACUGCUAUUCUGACCAGCAACUAAAGCACCGUCAAAUGAUUGAGUGUGGUACAAUACAACCGUACAAGUGCCCCGUUUGGUUUUUCUCGCAGUAGGAAAAAUGACUAGCUAACCACCCCAAAAAACUUCUCUGUCAAGACUUGGGUGGGAUUAUCCAGUACUCAACUCACGUGUGCCCCGUGCAACGCCAGCAUUCCCCUCAUGUACUGAUUCCUGGUUGUUCUAUACAUCUGAAGCAAAGUCCCAAAGCUCUCGCAGGCGUCCUGGUACACGACGUACCUGCAGAACCUUGAAGUGAAGCCUGUGAAGCCAACCAAGGCUUGCUCAGGGUUAGAGCUGAACGCCUCAACAAGCUCUUCAAGGGCAUCCAAGAUGUUGCAGAAAUCGAUUCUCAAGUCUGCAUCUCCUCCUUGUGGCAAGUGCCGGAGCCAGCUCAUCCACAGAAACGGUUCAUCAUUAUUUUCUUGGACUGCCAACUCGAUGCUUUUCAAUGCUUCCUUGAAGCUGCAGUUUUUCUCCAAGCUCCUAAGUAUCUCAUCAAAAGUUGAUCUCUGGCUGCUUCUAAGAGCCUUCAAGUGUGCCGUUGUGCAGGAACUGGAAGAUGGAAGCUUUGCUGCAACUAUGCAUGCCUUCCUGAAAAUAGGAUCAUUGUUGGAGAGCAACCUGAUGGCCACAUGCAACACAAGAGCAAAUAGCGAAGUUUCCUCUUUUGCUCUGGACCUGUCGAAUCGAGACCCUCCAAGCUUCUGUUUCUCCACCCAACAAUGAAGUGCAAUAUGUGCAAAUCCUUCCCACCUGCAACACAAUGUAUGCUAAGAAGAAGAAACACUAGACACGCAAAGUAAGAAUUUCACAUAAAUACGGUUAAUACUUACUCAAAGGGUGGCUCAACCUCAAUAGCAAGAGUCAAAUGAAGUGAAUAACCAGCAUAUGCAUUCAUUUGAGAUUCACCAACAUCAGUGUGAGCCUCGUGGACAUAACCUCUAGGAAUGUACAUCAUGUCUCCUUCAUGUAACACCUCCACUCUUCCACUGUUAUCAUCUAAAGUACAAUCUAGAGGAUCAAAAGGCUCAUAUAGUCUAGGCAAAAGUGGCUUUGGAUUAGGCCAAAUCAUCCAUUUCUUGCAACCAAGUAGCUGCCAAACAAGUACACAGUGAUCAUCAUAAUGUCGGGCUAGGCCUUGAGACCUUGGAGGAGAGAAGUAUAUGUUGGCUCCUACAGAAGGUUGGCCAAAUAGAUCAGCCAGGGCAGAAGCUAUAGCAGCAACCUUUUCGGACCGGAACUCCAAGCCACGCAAUGCAACUGAAUAGCCCUUCUUAAAUGCAUGCUUACAUUUUUUUGCGAAUGCUUCUUCAUCCAGGAAGACUGUUCCAUCAUCGAAAAAAUGCUCCUCCCUCGCAUAUACCCUUGAGGUUUGAUCACUUGGGUCUUCUGUUCUCAAAACCCUAAUGUCUUGCCUGUACUUUAUGGCAUCACCCAAGGAAUCAUGAACUUCAUGGAGAAAUGAAUUUAUGUCGAGUUCAUCUGAAGCAAUAGCAGGGCAAGAAACAAGCCCCUUUAUAAAUGAUUCAAUUAUAGCAUCAGGUGUUGUACCAAGAUUAAAAGCACUAUUCAAGGCUGCAAAGACAGGAUCAUCAUUUUGAGUGUUUUGUUUCCUCCUGUACAAAUUAGGUGACUUUUCCCAGUAGGCCAGGACAAAAUUUUCGAAAUUGGACUCAGCUUGGCCAAAAAUACUUUUCCUGACCACAUCAGGCUCUAGGCAGGCUGGAGAAGCAAGUUCAAUUGAAAGAUUAAAAAUAGCUUUAGAUAUCUCAUAUUCUCUACUUUGAAGUUGAUUCUUCCUGUUGUUGCAAUCAGCUGAUGAUCUCAAGAGUUUGACUUUCUUCCAUACUUUAUAUAACAAAGACAGAGUGCUCCUUACUAGCUCUUGCUGCAUACUUUGCAUUUUGUCAACUUUACGGGAACUCACCAGAAGGACCACUGUGUCGAUGAUCAAGUAUGAGAUUUUAUUUGCUUCUGUGUCUUUUUCUGGGUGUUUGGUUGUCCUGCUAUCAACAAAUUCACAAAUAGAUUCCACCUGAAAAAAUACAUGCCUACAGGAAGUCAACUUCACAUUUUCACUUGCUCAAGAGAUUCAGAAAGUACAAACAGAGAGCAUCUCUUUCAUCAAUUAAAACAGACUGUGAUACUUGUCUACUUCUAGCUACAUGGUGCCUUUUAUCAUAUAACAAUAAAGCAUGCAUUUGAAAUACAUUUCGCUGAUAUAAAGCGUGGCUCAAGUCGCUAAUAUAAACCUAGUUAGUUAGUAGCAAUUGCAAAUACACAGAACUGCUGGUAGGAAAACUAGAUAGAGCAUGAACACGAAUUCAAGGUUGUGGCACCGAAAUUUGAUAUUAUUUUGUUCAAUUUGGUAGGGGAAACCAUAUAAAUCAGUAAGCAAAACAUGCUUCAUACUGUAAUACAACUACGGCCAUGGGAUACAGAUGCUCACAACAUGCUCGGCAGGACAGGUGAGCCUGCAAGGCGCUCCCUACCAACUGAAGAGGCCGAGAGAUCCAUUAUAGAAUUACAGGCAGCCUCGGUCACUCGCUGGCUUCCACUCCCCAGCGCCCUCGCCAAGCCGCUGGCGAUGCCACUGUCGGACGCCAGCACCUCGCCGGCCUCCAUGGACCGCAACGCCGCCGCGCCCAGCACCUCGCAGCUCAGCGCGGCGACAGAAGGGCAGCUGCAAUCCACAUUGCAGCACAGCUCGUAUCAGAAAGGCAUGGAUGUAAGAUAAACAAGCGCAGGGAGGGCAUUCCGGCAAAUUGACGGAGGCGGAGCUUGCGGGGUGCCUACCUGGAGGAGAGGAGGCGGGGGAGGAGCGCGACCAGGGAGUCCGGGAGAGGGGACAGCAUCUGCGGCGAGCGGGAGAGCACGCGACGCAGGAGGCGGGCUGCUAGUGCGGCUGAGGAGCAGGAGUUGCUGUUUUGGCGGGUGGUUUGGGCGGCGGCGAGAAGGAUGGGGAAGACGUGGUGGUCGAAGGAGGCGGAGGAGGGCGAGGCGUCAUCGGCGGCCGCUUCAUCCAUGCGCCCCUUCCUCUUUCUCCUCUUCCCGUUCCGAUUCAUGGCGUUCGGGUGCAUCGCGCGUUCGUUUCGGUUCGCGGCGGCGCUGAGGGAGGCCGCGAGGGCGCGGUGGGAGACGAUGAUGGAUGCAGAAGUACGUGUUGCCUGCACCGGUGGCGUAUAUGAUCAUAUUACGCUUUCUCUGUAGCUUUGCGCCUUUGUGUGACGACGCCAAGACAUCGGUUGGAAUUUGGAAACUUGGCAUGAAUUGAGCUUGUUGCAGACAGCAGCAUACUUAGUUUCGAUUUCUUUUAAAAAAAUUCUGAAGAAUGGAUUUUAAUGAAUUUCGUCAUUUUAUUAUUUUUAUAUUUUCGUUAGAGAUGCUCCGCAGACUGCGCGUAGUAGUUUUAAAAAAUUUCACACUCAAAAGUAAUCAUACUCCUGAUCAUACUUUUUAUUUCCAAACAACGUGGCCCGAUAGCCGUGUGUCUAAAAAAAGUUUGAAGGAUAUGAUGGGCUUUUACACCAAAAGCAUGACGACGAGAUGGGUGGCAGCGUACCAAAAAUCAAUCAGAGACUAAAUUAGUCUGAGAAUAGCGGCGCAGCUCGAGCUGAUCUUCGAGGGCGGGUUGUCGAGAUCUUGCAUGCCAUUAGUCAUUAAACUAGUACAAAAUAAUUGCCGAUACAUUUAUGCUAUAUGAACUUUAGCAAUCAUACUGUUAGCUGAUCGAAUAGUUAAAUCACUAUGGUGCCCUGUUUCCCAUGCUUGCUCUUUGCAAAGUUGGAGUUGUACAGUCAGCAGGUCUACACCUACUCCCAACUCCUUGGCCGCCAAGAAUGCUUUUGGUCGCUUGCGGUGCUAUAUGAAGACCUGAACUCGCGUCUCAGCAGCAGUGAACUAUCUUCCUGAGCUCUAUCUCCUGACUAUGCUUCGUGGAGCUGUUCCUCUCUGAUCUUCUUCUCAAGUCUUGUCUAUGUGCUUCUUGUUUCUUGAAUUAUGAUCCGUUUUACUAUGUGCCUUUUUCUUUUUUCUUUUCUUUUGUGCUUUUUCGUUAAGUUUAUUUUGCGGUUUAAUUUGUCACAGUCAUUUUUGUUUGAGCUUGGCCCUUGGAGGACAAUGAUGGAAACAACGAAGGCUCGCUCGCCGAACCUAAUAUGGCAUCUCAGGUGCCUUGACGAUUAGAUUCGUAUGUGUACUGAGUUCUCCAUGCUCACAGCUUCCUUCUGUCACUGAUGAGAGUCUGAGAAAUCAAUCUUGGCUUUGGACGUUCUUCCUUCUCUCAGUUCUCACCGUCUCUUGCAUGGAAAUUAAAAGUGUACAGCUUGGAGUACAUCCCCCUGUUCCUGUCGCUGGCGUCCCUGGUGAAGGGCAUCUGCUGGACCGCCUACGCUCUCAUCAAAUUCGACCUCUACAUCACCGGAAGCAACUACAACCAGCAGGUUAAAUUUCAAAGUUUAUUCACUUCAGUCCGGUCCACCGUAUCAUUAGAACGGCAACACUAGCACUACCACUACCAGUAGGAAUCUGUCAGCGACUAUAUAUAAAGACUGUGACCAAAAAUCUCCUCCUGCACUGCAGCAGGGAGAGCCAUGUGCUCUAGCAGUGACAAACAGAGCAAUUUUUACAGCAGAACGGGGUUCUAGAACCGUAUUCCAUUGCGAGACUACCAUCCAUCAGUGUUGCAAUAAACCACACCACCGGAUGCCCGGCCACAUGGGUGCUCAGCCGGCAGCCUUUUCCCCUUCGCGGCCUCCUCCCGUCCCUCCGGCUUGGUUCAGGGGCACAUGCGCGUAGCACGUAACCACCCGUGUACGGUUGCGCAGGUGCCACACGCCCCCUUUCCUGGAGAUGAACAAUUGUCGUCCAAUUUUUCUUUUUCUUUCAUAUUUCUCUUGGCACUAUUUUGCUCCCUUUUUGGGAACUACUGUCCUCAACUUCUUAUAUCGUUCUUCUUUCGUUUUGAGUGGACGAACUACAAUUGUUUUGCGAUGUUCAGAGCUUCAGAUCACGCAUAGCGUUCUUGAAACCCGGCAGCAAGUUAACCGCAUGCAAAAUAAUGGUCGUAGUUCAAUAUAUCAGUUUGAGUAAAAAGGAAACACGAGAUGCACAGAGGUUCAGAAUCAGCAUUUCACCGAGAAAGCUCGAUUGCUCAAAAAGGUUUCAGAGGAAGACAAGUUCUGUUAUGAAAUUUGCAUGGAACUUGGCCCGAACUUCUUACUGAACAAAAUUCCUCAUUCAACUUUCAUACGAAACUUGGUCCGAAAAUCACAACAGAAAACAGGUCUAAACAUUCAACAGAGAAUGAUCUGAACUGGAAUCAAACAACAGCUCUGUUUGCAACAGCUGUGUCUCUAACAUGACAAUCCCCAUCAUCUCAGCACUAAUAUAUGAAAGAACAACAGCUCUAUUUGCAGCAGCUAGCUCACAGGGGGAGUUCAGGGUGCGCCCAGCGCUCAGUAGCGAACACACAGUACGGGAGGCCGCUGGAUGCCGGGUUCAUUUGUUUCCUUUCCGAUUUCUGGCCUCGCCCGCUGUUUCCAGUGGACUGUGCCUGCGAACUCAAUGCCAAUGCAAGUUCCUGGAACAUACCUGCUUAGCAUGGACGCCCGUGAGUACGUUGCUCUUUUUGAAGGAAAGCAUGUGCAGCUCAUGUGGAACAUCACAACCAGCCAACCGACUUUGUGGAAAAUCACACCGGCGCAUUCAAAAGCUAGAUUCUUUUUAUAAAAAAAGAAAGGACAAUCCCACCCACACCACGAAUCACUUCUUCAGCUAAUCCAUCCACCGGUCACUUCUUCCCUCUCGGAGCGCGCGCGCACCAAUCCAUCGGUCACCCGCCUGCACGCCCAUGGCCAGCGCGGGUGCGGCAGCGGUGACGACGUCGGCGAGCGAGGUAUCGGUGAGCUCGCACCUGUUCACGGUGAGGGGCUACGGCAACACCAAGGGCAUCGGCGUCGGCGUCUCCAUCGAGUCGCCCGCGUUCGACGCCGCGGGGCACCGCUGGUCCGUCGUGUUCUACCCGGACGGCGAGAGCCAGGACGCCAGCGGGCAAAUCUCCGUCUUCGUCAGGCUCGUCAGCGAGGCCAGCGACGACGUCACCGUCCUCUACGGCUUAAGCCUCGUCGACCCGACCGGCGCCGCGCCGGCCGCGGAAGCCUCGAAGGCCCCAAAGAUCUCCACGUUCAGUUGUGGUGAGUCCAGAGGGCUCGGCUGUUUCAUGGAGCAGGAAACGUUCGAGGCUUCGCCGUACCUGCAGGACAAUUGCUUCACGAUCAAGUGUGUCAUCGGAGCCGUCAACGGACCAGGUGCAGCGCUGGCGCCGCCGGCCACCGAGCUGCGCCAUGGUUUCGAUCGCCUUCGGCUAGACGGCGCUGCGGACGACGCGUGGUCCGACAUCGGAGGGAGCAGCGGAGAAGCUAGCGACUGAACAAGAUAGCCAUGCUGCUCUACUAGCCUGUGCUAGGAGCGCAGGUGUAUCAGGGGAAAAGAAUAAACAGAGUUGCCUCUGGCAGUUCACCAAGCAUGUAUAUCUUUGUGGCUUGCAUGCUUUGCUCUUUAACAAAAACUCUAUGUACCUUGCUCUGUGCACAGAAAUAUGUAAUCAGGUUCGGACGGGUAAGGAUUGAAAUUGUGGACUGAUUUGCUGUCCAAACAAGCCUGCAAUGACUGAUUGCAGACUUGGGAUAGUAGCCGGAUAACAAGGGAAAGGCUGCAAUGAUUUCAGAUUUCUCUUGGCACUAUUUUGCUCCCUUUUUGGGAACUACUGUCCGCAACUUCUUAUAUCGUUCUUCUUUCGUUUUGAGUGGACGAACUACAAUUGUUUUGCGAUGUUCAGAGCUUCAGAUCACGCAUAGCGUUCUUGAAACCCGGCAGCAAGUUAACCGCAUGCAAAAUAAUGGUCGUAGUUCAAUAUAUCAGUUUGAGUAAAAAGGAAACACGAGAUGCACAGAGGUUCAGAAUCAGCAUUUCACCGAGAAAGCUCGAUUGCUCAAAAAGGUUUCAGAGGAAGACAAGUUCUGUUAUGAAAUUUGCAUGGAACUUGGCCCGAACUUCUUACUGAACAAAAUUCCUCAUUCAACUUUCAUACGAAACUUGGUCCGAAAAUCACAACAGAAAACAGGUCUAAACAUUCAACAGAGAAUGAUCUGAACUGGAAUCAAACAACAGCUCUGUUUGCAACAGCUGUGUCUCUAACAUGACAAUCCCCAUCAUCUCAGCACUAAUAUAUGAAAGAACAACAGCUCUAUUUGCAGCAGCUAGCUCACAGGGGGAGUUCAGGGUGCGCCCAGCGCUCAGUAGCGAACACACAGUACGGGAGGCCGCUGGAUGCCGGGUUCAUUUGUUUCCUUUCCGAUUUCUGGCCUCGCCCGCUGUUUCCAGUGGACUGUGCCUGCGAACUCAAUGCCAAUGCAAGUUCCUGGAACAUACCUGCUUAGCAUGGACGCCCGUGAGUACGUUGCUCUUUUUGAAGGAAAGCAUGUGCAGCUCAUGUGGAACAUCACAACCAGCCAACCGACUUUGUGGAAAAUCACACCGGCGCAUUCAAAAGCUAGAUUCUUUUUAUAAAAAAAGAAAGGACAAUCCCACCCACACCACGAAUCACUUCUUCAGCUAAUCCAUCCACCGGUCACUUCUUCCCUCUCGGAGCGCGCGCGCACCAAUCCAUCGGUCACCCGCCUGCACGCCCAUGGCCAGCGCGGGUGCGGCAGCGGUGACGACGUCGGCGAGCGAGGUAUCGGUGAGCUCGCACCUGUUCACGGUGAGGGGCUACGGCAACACCAAGGGCAUCGGCGUCGGCGUCUCCAUCGAGUCGCCCGCGUUCGACGCCGCGGGGCACCGCUGGUCCGUCGUGUUCUACCCGGACGGCGAGAGCCAGGACGCCAGCGGGCAAAUCUCCGUCUUCGUCAGGCUCGUCAGCGAGGCCAGCGACGACGUCACCGUCCUCUACGGCUUCAGCCUCGUCGACCCGACCGGCGCCGCGCCUGCCGAGGAAGCCUCGAAGGCCCCAAAGGUCUCCACGUUCAGUUGUGGCGAGGCCAGAGGGGUCGGCUGUUUCAUGGAGCAGGAAACGUUCGAGGCUUCGCCGUACCUGCAGGACAAUUGCUUCACGAUCAAGUGUGUCAUCGGAGCCGUCAAGGGACCCGUUGGGCGCCCGCGCGGUGGCGCACGCCGGCGGCCGCUAGCUGGGCCAGCGUGGACCGCUGUCCCUUCACCUCCCCUUUCACCUCCCCGCUGCCGCCCGCUCGUCUUCUCCUCUCUCCCCAUUCAAACACGCCCGUUCUCCUCCCCCGGCCAAACCCUAACGCCUCCCGCCGCCGCUUCCUCUUCCACUCGCCCGCCGGCCGCCGCAUCCCAUCGCCGUCGGUGAGCCCCCAUCCAAUUCCUCGCGCCCACACCACCUCCUCCCCCUCCUCGUUCGAUUCCGGCCGCCCGCCGCCUUCCCCUCUGCCCGCACCUUCUCCCCGACACUCCUCCCUCCGCCGCCGCCGUGCUCCGCCGCGCCGCCGGUCACCGCCUCGCCCCGCUCGCCCGUGCCGCGGGCGAGCACCCUUGCUGUGCCACGCUGCCGGUGCGCGCGCGUCCCCGCCCCCUCUCGCGCUCCGGCUGCGUCGCUGCCCGUGGGCAGCCGCGGCGUCGCGCUGCGCGUGCGCGCGUCCGCGCGCGGGCCGCGCCGCGGGCGUGCGCUGGCCGCGCCCGUGGUGAGUCAAGGCCACGGCUGGCCUUGACUCCGCCCGGGGCGUGCGCUGGCCGCCUGGGUCCGCCUGUCGGCGCCUAGGGGCGCUAGAUCCGGGGGUGGAUCUAGCGCUUGCCGCCCGGUUUCUUUUAUUUGUUUUAUGCUGUACAUUUAUAAAUUGCAUAGGAAAUGUUCUAGGUCUCCAAAAAUUGUGAAAUUAAAUUUUUUGGACUCCUCUGCAAUAGAUCUACUUAGAUAAAUUAAGUUUGAGCAUGUCAAAAUCCUGUACACUUAGUUAAAUUUUAUCCUUUCUAAACAUAGUUAAAUGCUUAACUUAUUUUGUGAUGCUCUAAAAAUGUUAAAUCAAGAUUUUUUAGAAUCCUUAGUGAAAUUACUAGAUGAUGGUAUAGAUUGUGCAAGUGUUUUCAUGCUUUUUGCUAGAGUUUUAAUGUGUUUAUUUAAAUUCUGCCUGCAAAAUUGUUUAAUGUGUAACUCUUGAUUGAAAAAUGAUAAAAUGAUAAAACCACUUCUGUUACUUUUGUUAUCAAAUCCUGUGUCUCCAGUAAUUCUUUAAGAAUUCAUGAAGAAUGCUUUGAGUACCUUUUAAGAUUUAACUUGAUUCUAGCAGCUGAAAACUAUAAAUAACAUGAGUAAUUCCACAAAGAUGUUUUUGCUGCAAUUUCAACUCUCAUGAGUUUCUUUUGAGAUCCCCACUGUGCACAAUUUAAAUCAUGAUUUAUGCUUGCUAAAUAUCUUGUUAAGCAAAUUUCGUCCUUGGCCGUAGAAUUAAAAUUAGUAGUCAAGCUUGUGGUGUCAUGGUCGUUUUGCUUCCAUGAUUGGAGUGAUAUUUUUCUUCCAUUGCCAUAUCAUUGCAUGUCAUCUCAUUUUCAUAUCAUUGGCACCAUCCUAAUGCAUACAUCUCAUUCAUGCAUUAUAGUGACCGAGACGCCGGAGGACGCACCCGUUGAGCCCACCGAGACCUUUGAGACCGAGCCGGGAGCCGAAUUUGUUGUGGAACAAGAAGAAAACCAAGGCAAGCAGCUAAGCAUGAUCCCUUGCCCCUUUUUAACUUGACUGGACUUAGUUAUCUCAAUGGGUAUAUAUGUAUAUUCUAUAUGUUUAAUUUUUGCAUCGUCGAUCCUAUUUACUUGUCAUGACCUUCCUUGUUUACGCUCUCAUGUCCUUGUCACGUGUAGUAAUAACUAAAUGAUCUAGCAAAAGCUUAGUCAUGCUUAGAUUUGGCUUUUAAACUUGCAAGAAACAUUGGAAUAGGGUUACCUUGAUCACUACACUACUUCUAGUAUGUUCGUGCUUAUUCCCGGUGUGUCGGAAGAUCGGAAAAGGGGAUUAAUGGAAUGGUUAUGUCAUGAUUCGAGUGGAAGGCAGGGCCUUGGGAAAGGAGUCUCGGAGGUAUAGUCCGCUUGAAUUGGUUAAGGACCGUCCGUGGAUGACCUUGGAAAUUGAGCACUUAUCGUACUACCACAUAUCCAUUCAUGGGAUGGAUAAACCAAUUACCCUCUAGUUCUAAUCAUUGAUGCACGGUCCUAGAUGCGUGGCCAUAGGCCUUUGUAGAGAGGCUUAGGGGUGUCCCCGGUGGAUCUAGGUAACUCUCCGCGCAAGUUAGGCGUGAUGUUCAACGGUUACAACUAGUCGGGAAAGGUUGAUGCGAGUACCCCCUUGCCCAAAGUGAUCGGUUGGGUGAGUCGCAUGGUCCUUGUGUCGUGUGGGUAAAGAUGUACACCCUUGCAAGGUUAUUGAAUCAAUUCAAAUUGCCGUGCUCUCGAUUAUGAGCAAGCUCUUUAUCCUACGAAUUCUUCGUAGAAGUGUUGAUUUUGUUGGUUGGAUACAUGUUACCUCUUGAUGAUGCAUAGUGAUUAAUUAAAUUAAUUAACUAAAACUUGAGGUGGGUUGGGCAAGUUGAUUAAAAUGCUAGGAAGCUAGGUGUGGAGUUAGGGAGCUCAUGCUUAACUAAUAUUACUUAACCCCAAAGCCUCUUUGUGAGCCUUCAUAUGCAUACUCCUUGAUUAUUAAUUAUUCGCGUAAGUCUUGCGAGUACCUUUGUACUCAUGUUGCUUUAUUAUACUAAGUUGCAGGUGAACCGGAAGUGGUGUUUGGCCAUUUGUACCCCGCCGAAUCCGGCGUGGGCGAGGAGUAGACCAAUACGGUUAAUGGUGUCCUUGAGCAAGACGCCAUUAUUAUUUAUCGUUAUAUUUUCCGCUGCGUAUCGUAUUUUUAUGAUAAACGUUAAACUCUAUAGUUUUUACCCCUUUCUAAUGUUAUUGUGAGCCCGAGGCUUGUAUCCCUUAUUUGAAUCUUUAAAUUUCAGAUUUAGAACCUUUUCCUAUAUUAACGUUGUAAUGGUUAGUUGCUUAACUUUAUAUUAAAACUUGCUCUUUAUGGAUCAUUGGUGAUGUAUGAGCUCAUGAUGGUAUGUGCAUGUGCAUGAUCUUGGGCAUAUGUUGGAUCACAUACCGGGACUACCAGGUUUAACAUAUUUUCGGUGAAAAAUAAGUUGGUCCUUGGUAGUUUAGAUGUGGAUUAACCCGUGAUGCGUUAUUUGUGCGAACGCGUGUUAGCUCUCAUCUUCAUGAUAAGGACCGACGGUUUCGCUUAAAAUGAUGUUAAAUUGGGCAGUUCUCACACCGGCCACCGAGCUGCGCCUGUCAAAUAAUCCUUGUGCUUAGUUUGCUUUGCUUCCUAGAUUAGGCGCAUGGCGCUCUCUGAUGGCUGUGCGCGUUAUGGAACACUGACGAGCGCUUUGUUCGCUCAGGUGCGCGUCGUGCGCUGUGAUGGAGGUGUGUGGGAUGGCAUGCAUCGAGGAAGGUCGUGGCGCACAUGUCGGGGCUCACGUUCCCCAUUUCUUCAGCUGUAAUCUUUGCUUUAUAUAGCUAAUGAUCAUACAGAAAAGCUGCCAGUUGGUUGCAGCACAAAUCAGAACGUGUCCACCUCGUGUUCGUGUGAGCUGUGUGCGUUCGCUCAGCUGCGCAGAGGCUCGCCGGAGAUCAUUCCUUAAUCUGUAUUCCGGCGAUCUCUGACAACGUGGUACCGGAGCCCGGUUACGAGUCGGGAGUCCGUCAUCACGCAGUACCAGCGGUGGAAUCGCGAUCGGACGGUUGAGUUCGCCAUGUCUCAGCCACCACCGAACACCGACACCAACAAUGACGGCAACGGCGGCAGAAACGCUGGUGGCUCCGGCGGCGCCGUCGUGCAGCGGGUAAUUCGUGAGGUGGGCGGUGGGACUAGCUACCCCGCGCUCACCAAGACCAACUACUCCGACUGGGCUGCGUUGAUGAAGGUGAAGCUCAAGGCGCGGGCGCUCUGGGCGGCGGUUGAUCCAGGCGGCGUCGAGCCGCAGGAGGACAUGAUGGUGAUCGACGUCCUGGCGAGUGCGGUCCCGGCGGAGAUGGUGUCAAGCAUCGCCAACAAGGAGACGGCGAAAGACGCGUGGGACACCAUCAAGAUCAUGCGCGUCGGCGAUGAGCGCGUGAGGAAGUCGACACCGCAGCACCUACGCCGGCAAUUUGACUUGGCGACGUCGCGCGAGGAUGAGAACAUCGAGGACUACUCCAUGCGGCUGAGCGGCAUGGUGGCGCAGCUGGCGACGCUCGGCGUGACGCUGGACGAACCCACGGUGUUGGGCAAGUUCCUCCGGAGCGUGCCAGCGCGGUUCAAGCAGAUCGUGGUGGCGAUCCAGACGCUGCUCGAUGUGUCCACGCUCACACUGGCGGAGGCGACGGGGCGAUUGAAGGCAGCCGAGGAGGAGCUGGAGGCGCCGCCGCCGUCGGUCCACCACAACGGCAAGCUAUACCUCACGGAGGAGGCUUGGGAGGCGAAGUGGAAGCAGCGAGAAGCAGAGAAGUCGUCAGCCGAUGGCGGGAGCGGCGGAUCCCGUCGUCGUGGCCGGAAAAGCGGACGCGGUAUAGGACGCGGAGGCGACGCGGGAGCAGGCUCGCCUUCUUCCUCUGGGCCGGGAAAUGGCAUCGGCAAGGUGGGCCGGUACCAGUGCCGGAAAUGCGGUAAGACGGGCCACUGGGCGCGUGACUGCAAGUCUAAGCCUAAGAGAGAGCAGGCUAAUGUAGCCUAGGAGGAGGAGGCCCUCCUGCUGUUGAGGUCCACGCCGCUCAUUCGACGCGGCACUUCCUUGCCGGCUAGAUCCACGACGCCACCGCCAUCGGCGCCUGCAGCCACCUCGGGCGCGUCAUCCCCAGCGUGCUCAUGCUCUCCACCUCCACAUGUUGCGGGUUCCAGCGCGCCCAAGGCGCUGGCGCAGCAGCUGUCGGUUGCGAGCUCCGGCAGGAGAGUAAAUCUGCGGGAGGAGAAGGUGUUUGUACAGCUCAGCGUCAAGGAGGGGCGCAACUCCAAGUCCUGGAUCUAUGACACCGGGGCCAUGAACCAUAUGACAGGGUCCCGGGCGGCAUUCGCAGAUCUAGACAUGGCGGUGUGCGGGUCGGUGCGAUUCGGCGACGACUCCGUGGCGGAAAUCGAGGGGCGCGGCACGGUCCUCUUCUUGUGCAAGAAUCGUGAGCACCACUCCUUCACUAGCGUCUACUACAUUCCGCAGCUCACUGCAAACAUCGUGAGCCUGGGCCAACUGGAGGAGGCUGACUACGACAUCCAUCUCCAGCGAAGCAUCAUGGAGAUUUGGGAGCUUGCUGGGAACCUGCUGGCAAGGAUCCCGCGGGCAGGCAACCGGCUGUACGUGCUCAAUGUAAAUGUGGCACAGCCGGUGUGCCUGGCAGCACGCAGCGAGGAGAGCGCCUGGCGGUGGCACGCCCGGCUUAGCCACAUCAACAUGGCGGCGCUGCGGAAGAUGGCGCGGGAGGAGAUGGUCCGCGGACUGCCCACGAUCUAGCAGGUGGAUCAACUCUGCGAAGCCUGCCUCACCGGCAAGCAGCGGCGCAUGACGUUCCCGGACCAGGCACAGUGGCGGGCGGAGCGUGCACUAGAGCUGGUCCACGGGGACUUGUGCGGACCCGUGACGCCGGUGACACCGAGCGGCAACACCUACUUCCCGCUACUCGUCGACGAUCGGAGCCGGUACAUGUGGCUGGUCCUGCUGCCGUCCAAGGACCGAGCAGUAGCUGCCAUCAAGGAGUUCCAGGCGCGCGCGGAGGCGGAGUCCGGCUGCAAACUGCUGGCGCUCCGGACGGAUCGUGGUGGCGAGUUCACGUCCAAGGAGUUCAUGGAGUACUGCACGGCUGACGGCGUGCACUGGCAGCUGACGGCGUCGUACUCUCCUCAACAGAACGGUGUCGUGGAGCGCCGGAAUGCCAUGGUGUUCGGCACGGCACGCAGCCGAAUGAAGGCGAAGGGGCUGCCGGCCUGGUUUUGUGGGGAGGCGGUGAACACCGCCGUUUACCUCCUGAACUGGGUGCCGAUGAAGGCGGUGGAAGGGAAGACCCCGUUCGAGGCAUGGUACGGGAAGAAGCCGGCGGUGCACCACUUGAAGACCUUUGGGUGCAUCGUGUAUGUCAAGAACACAGCACCGCACCUGAAGAAGAUGGAGGAUCGUGGCCGCAAGAUGAUCUUGAAAGUACGCCUAGAGGGGGGGUGAAUAGGCGAUCGUCGCUUAAAACCUGCACACAAAAAUCUCAGCCCGAUGCUGCCUGGCGGACUGUCCGCUGGGAGUGUCCGCUGGGCACUUCCAACGUCCGCUGGAAGGUCUCGGGAAUGGAAUGCAAUCUUUCGAAGAAUAAAACUUGUAUACCAAAAUCCACUUGAAUAGAAAGACUCUAAUACCUGUAAGGAACACUAAAUGUGGAAGCAAUCUAGCUCAAAGUAAGUACACAAGUAGAUCGGGUAAGAAUACUAGACAAAGGUAGGAAUAACAAAAACACUAGAAUGAAGUAAGAUAAUCAAGCACAAAAGACACGAGAUUUUCACCCGAGGUUCAAAUCCACUCAAGGAUUCUACGUCCCCGUUGAGGAGUCCACAAAGGACCGAGUUCCUCUCAACCCUUUCCUCUCUCAAGCAACCACAAAGGUCAAACUUGAGCUUUUCACUAGCAACAAGGGUAAUACAAACUUCUCAAUCCAACCACACCACGAGUUGGUUGUUCUUGAGCACCUCUAACCGUCUAGGAGCCAAGCUCCAAGAGUAAUAGAUGUGGAAAGCGAUGGAGAGAGCCAAGAGAUGCCCAAGAGAGGUGAAUCUCUUGGGAAGAACUUGAAUCUUGCUUGAAUCUUGCUCAAACCAAACCCUAGACCAAAGAUUUGGAGUGGGGAAGCUAGGGUUUCACUUUGGGGAGCUUUGGAGUGCUUAGAAUGUGCUUGAGAUGCGAUUUCACAGGUUAGGCAAGAGUGUUUAACGUUUGGGUGCGUGGGGGGUAUAAAUAGUGCCUCACAAAAACUAGCCGUUAGGCUAUUUUUAGUGACCUGGCGGACUGUCCGCCAGGAGCUCUCGGAUGUAGGCUGAUUUUAGAGCCCUGGCGGACUGUCCGCCAGGCCUGGCGGACUGUCCGCCAGGAGCUCUCGGAUUUGGAUAAUUUGCUACAAGGCUUACACUCCGGAUUUGAUUUAUUGGUGAUCUUCCACACACUUUCCACAUCUCCCUUAAUAGUACGGUAUACCUAAACUCAAGAAAACACAAAACAAAUAAAUUUCUCCGCUUGCAACUCUUUUCUUGAUCCGGUACCGUUCUCCAACUUUGAAUAAUCGUCAAGAUUCACUCCUUUUCUUUUCUCCUUUUUGGUUUCUUUGACCCCUGCUCAUUAUACUCAAUUGAAAUAUUAGAUACUCAUUUAGGUUAUUAUUAAUCACCAAAAUAGGUCAUUAGGCCUAGAUGCACUUUCAGAUCUUCGUCGGGUACGAGCGCGGGUCCAAGGCAUAUCGGGCCUACGAUCCGACGGCGAAGCGCGUGCAUGUGACGCGCAAUGUGGUGUUCGACGAGGCCGUGCAGUGGGACUGGCCAGGAGGCAGCGAGACCAGCACUGGUGCGGAUCACGACGGCAACGACACUUUCACUGUCCAGUACAGGGUGGUGCCGGGACAAGAAGGCGUGGAGGAUGCAGUACCUGUUACCCCAGACGGUGGGAUGGAGCCAGGAACACCACCAACGAUGCCUGCGGCGGCGGAGCCAACUUCCCCGCUUGUUCAAUUCGCCACGCCGCCCGCUGAGGUCGACAAGGAGCUGGACGCCGACCACGACAAGGAAGCGCCACUUCAUUUUUGCAUGGUGGACAACGUGAUCGGCACUGCCACACCACCUGGCUACGUCGUGCGUGAUCUGGGCGGCGGGCAACUCUUCACUAUGAGUGCGGGGGAGCCCGGAUCGCUCGCCCAGGCAGAGCAAGACCCAAGCUGGCGUCAAGCGAUGGAGGAGGAAUUACGCGCCAUCGAGGAGAACCGCACCUAGACGCUCACUGAACUGCCUCUUGGCCGGCGCGCCAUUAGGCUCGAGUGGGUGUUCAAGGUCAAGAAGGACGAGCAUGGUGCUGUGGUGCGGCACAAGGCGCGGCUCGUUGUCAAGGGCUAUGCACAGCGCCAAGGAAUCGACUACGACGAGGUGUCUGCGCGGGUGGCGCGCAUGGAGGUUGUGCGGCUACUCCUGGCAUUGGCGGCACAAGAAAGAUGGCAAGUGCACCAUAUGGACGUCAAGACGGCGUUCUUGAAUGGCGACCUCCAGGAGGAGGUGUAUGUGCAACAAGCGCCCGGUUUUGCUCAACCUGGGCAGGAACACAAGGUAUAUCGACUGCACAAAGCUCUUUACGGUUUACAUCAAGCUUCCCGUGCAUGGAAACAGAAACUGGAUGAACAAUCGGGUGUUCUGGGGUUCAUGAGAUGCCCAUCUGAGCAUGCCAUUUACUGCCGAGGAGGAGGUGCUAAGAGACUGGCUGUAGGAGUGUAUGUGGAUGAUCUCGUGAUCACAGGCACUAGCAGCAGCAGCAUCUAGAAGUUCAAGCCUGAGAUGACCAAGGUGUUCAAGAUGAGUGACCUUGGGUUGCUAUCUUAUUGCCUAGGGAUUGAGGUGAAACAGGAUGAAGCUGGAAUCAGUCUGUCUCAAGGGAGCUAUGCAGGGAAGAUUCUUGAGAAGUGUGGACUGGAGGAUUGCAAUCCAUGUAGAGUGCCAAUGGAUGCCAAGCUGAAAUUAAGCAAGUGAAGCAACAACCCUAGAGUAAAUGCCACUGAUUACAGAAGCUUAGUUGGAAGCUUAAGAUUCCUGGUUAACACUCGACCUGAUUUGGCCUUUUCAGUUGGGUAUGUGAGCAGGUUUAUGGAGGAGCCCCAUGAGGAGCAUCUUGCAGCUGUGAAGCAAAUCAUGGGAUACAUAGCUGGGACAAGAAAUUGGGGCCUGUUCUAUGCAAGGAGAAAUGGACGAAGUGAUCGGCUGCUGGGCUAUAGUGACAGUGAUGUGGCUGGCGAUGUGGAUGGCAGAAAGAGCACUUCUGGAAUCCUUUUCUUCCUUGGGAGGAGUCCAAACAGUCGGCAAUCAGCAAAGCAGAAGGUAGUGGCUUUAUCAAGUUGUGAAGCUGAGUAUAUAGCCGCCACCACUGGUGCCUGUCAAGCUGUCUGGUUGCCACAGUUGGUCGCUGAAAUCAGGAACUCAGCGGUAAGUAAACCAGUGCUAAGGGUGGACAACAAGUCUGCCAUCUCAUUGAUAAAAAACCCAAUGCAUCACGACCGGUCCAAGCAUAUAGAUACAAGAUUUCAUCUGAUCCGGGAGUAUGCAAACUUAGGGCAAAUUGAGGUGAGGUUCAUCAGCACUCAGGAGCAGCUAGGUGACAUUGUGACUAAACCACUCGGCAAGGUCAAGUUCCAGGAACUCUGCACCAAAAUUGGCCUUCAAUCUGUGUAAGUAGUAAAUGCACAAGUCUUAGGAGGAGAUUUGUCAAAUAAUCCUUGUGCUUAGUUUGCUUUGCUUCCUAGAUUAGGCGCAUGGCUCUCUCUGAUGGCUGUGCGCGUUAUGGAGCACUGACGAGCGCUUUGUUCGCUCGGGUGCGCAUCGUGCGCUGUGAUGGAGGUGUGUGGGAUGGCAUGCAUCGAGGAAGGUCGUGGCGCACAUGUCGGGGCUCACGUUCCCCGUUUCUUCAGCUGUAAUCUUUGCUUUAUAUAGCUAAUGAUCAUACAGAAAAGCUGCCAGUUGGUUGCAGCACAAACCAGAACGUGUCCACCUCGUGCUCGUGUGAGCUGUGUGUGUUCGCUCAGCUGCGCAGAGGCUCGCCGGAGAUCAUUCCUUUAUCUGUAUUCCGGCGAUCUCUGACAGCGCCAUGGUUUCGAUCGCCUUCGGGUGGACGGCGCUGCGGACGGCGCGUGGUCCGACAUCGGAGAGAGCAGCGGAGAAGCUAGCGACUGAACAAGAUAGCCAUGCUGCUCUACUAGCCUGUGCUAUAAGCGCAGGUGUAUCAGGGGAAAAGAAUAAACAGAGUUGCCUCUGGCAGUUCACCAAGCAUGUAUACCUGUGUGGCUUGCCCUGUAACAAAAACUCUAUGUACCUUGCUCUGUGCACAGAAAUAUGUAAUCAGGUUCGGACGGGUAAGAGUUGAAAUUGUGGACUGAUUUGCUGUCCAAACAAGCCUGCAAUGACUGAUGGCAGACUUGGGAUAGUAGCCGGAUAACAAGGGAAAGGGACAGCCUAAACACAUCCGGCUAUCCUCGCUCUCCCCCUUUUCCGACCAACACGAGACAACAAAUCAGCCUAAACUGAAGCUGGGCAACACACAUAUAGGGAGAUCUGAGCCACUUGCUCGCUACAGAAAGGGGUACAUAAUGGAGCAAGAUUAAAAGAGCACCGUGAAAGAUUUGUCUGCAGCAAUUCACUUCCAAAAGGGGAAACUGAUGGAGACGUUCAAAAGUCUCCACACAUCGUGUUUUUUCC
rnacentral:lncRNA from 1 species